rnacentral:rRNA from 1 species
GUAGUUGAAUUUUAGCCYUGGCUGGGUGGUCCACCAAUGGAUGGUACUGCUCUGGCUGGGGUUCACUUUCUGGUGAGCCGGUAUGCUCUUCACUGGGUGUGCCGAGGAACCAGGACUUUUACUUUGAAAAAAUUAGAGUGUUUAAAGCAGGCCUAUGCUUGAAUACAUUAGCAUGGAAUAAUAGAAUAGGACUUUGGUUCUAUUUUGUUGGUUUCUAGGACCGAAGUAAUGAUUAAUAGGGAUAGUUGGGGGCAUUAGUAUUUAGUAGCUAGAGGUGAAAUUCUUGGAUUUAUGAAAGACUAACUUCUGCGAAAGCAUUUGCCAAGGAUGUUUUCAUUAAUCAAGAACGAAAGUUAGGGGAUCGAAGACGAUCAGAUACCGUCGUAGUCUUAACCAUAAACUAUGCCGACUAGGGAUCAGACGAUGUUACUUUACUGACUCGUUUGGCACCUUAUGAGAAAUCAAAGUUUUUGGGUUCCGGGGGGAGUAUGGUCGCAAGGCUGAAACUUAAAGGAAUUGACGGAAGGGCACCACCAGGAGUGGAGCCUGCGGCUUAAUUUGACUCAACACGGGGAAACUCACCAGGUCCAGACAUAGUAAGGAUUGACAGAUUGAGAGCUCUUUCUUGAUUCUAUGGGUGGUGGUGCAUGGCCGUUCUUAGUUGGUGGAGUGAUUUGUCUGCUUAAUUGCGUUAACGAACGAGACCUUAACCUGCUAAAUAGUUAUGCCAACUUUUGUUGGUAGUCAACUUCUUAGAGGGACUGUCGGCGAUUAGCCGAUGGAAGUUUUAGGCAAUAACAGGUCUGUUAUGCCCUUAGAUGUCCUGGGCCGCACGCGCGCUACACUGAUGAAGUCAACGAGUUUAUAACCUUGGCCGGAAGGU